AGUGAACGCUGGCGGCGUGCCUAAUACAUGCGAGUCGAACGGAGAUUAAGUAGCUUGCUGCGUAAUCUUAGUGGAGCAGGGGUGAGUAAUAUAUAGGUAACUAGCACAUUACUAAGGGACAGCAGUUGGAAAAGACUGCUAAUAGCUUAUAAUAUGUAUCGAUAUAAGUAGAUACGGGAAAGUUUUUCGGUAAUGGAUAGGGCUAUACCGAAUCAGCUAGUUGGUAAGGGUAUGGCUUACCAAGGCAAUGACGCGUAACUGGUCUGAGAGGAUGGUCAGUCACACUUGGACUUGGGCACGGUCCCGGCUCCCUCGGGAAGGAGCCGGAGGGGAUACUUCUCAAAUGGGGGAACCCUGAAGCAGCCACUCCGCCUGGAAGAAUACACUUUUCGGGACGUAAACUCCUUUUCUUGGGAAAGAAUUAUGACGGUACCCAAAGAAGAAGCACCGGCUAACUCCGUG
rnacentral:rRNA from 1 species